rnacentral:rRNA from 1 species
CGUCUUGAAACACGGACCAAGGAGUCUAACAUGUGCGCGAGUCAUUGGGUCUUGCUCAGGCCCAAAGGCGCAAUGAAAGUGAAGGCCGGCUCGGUCGGCUGCGUUGGGAUCCCGCCCUCUAGGGCGGGCGCACCAACGGCCCGUCCCAGUCGCUGCGUCGACGGGGCGGAGUGAGAGCGUACACGUUGGGACCCGAAAGAUGGUGAACUAUGCCUGGGCAGGACGAAGCCAGAGGAAACUCUGGUGGAGGUCCGCAGCGAUUCUGACGUGCAAAUCGAUCGUCAGACCUGGGUAUAGGGGCGAAAGACUAAUCGAACCAUCUAGUAGCUGGUUCCCUCCGAAGUUUCCCUCAGGAUAGCUGGCGCUCGGAGGAAGCAUUCUCAUCCGGUAAAGCGAAUGAUUAGAGGCCUUGGGGCCGAAACGACCUCAACCUAUUCUCAAACUUUAAAUGGGUGAGAAGUCCGGCUUGCUCGACUGAAGCCCGGACGUGAGGAUGCGAGUGCCCAGUGGGCCACUUUUGGUAAGCAGAACUGGCGCUGUGGA